rnacentral:rRNA from 1 species
UACCAGCAGCCCCGAGUUGUCGGGACGAUUAUUGGGCCUAAAGGCAAGUCCGUAGCCUGUUCUGCAAGUCCUCCGUUAAAUCCACCUGCUUAACGGAUGGGCCGCGGGGGAUACUGCAGAGCUAGGAGGCGGGAGAGGGCAAACGGUACUCAGUGGGUAGGGGUAAAAUCCAUUGAUCUACUGAAGACCACCAGUGGCGAAGGCGGUUUGCCAGAACGCGCUCGACGGU